GAGGACAGUGGCGGACGGGUGAGUAACGCGUGAGGAACCUGCCUUUCAGAGGGGGACAACAGUUGGAAACGACUGCUAAUACCGCAUAACGCGUAGAGGUCGCAUGGCCUUUACGCCAAAGAUUUAUCGCUGAAAGAUGGCCUCGCGUCUGAUUAGCUAGUUGGUGAGGUAACGGCCCACCAAGGCGACGAUCAGUAGCCGGACUGAGAGGUUGAACGGCCACAUUGGGACUGAGAUACGGCCCAGACUCC
rnacentral:rRNA from 1 species